rnacentral:rRNA from 1 species
CCUACGGGAGGCAGCAGUGGGGAAUAUUGGACAAUGGGCGAAAGCCUGAUCCAGCAAUGCCGCGUGAGUGAUGAAGGCCUUAGGGUUGUAAAGCUCUUUUACCAGGGAUGAUAAUGACAGUACCUGGAGAAUAAGCUCCGGCUAACUCCGUGCCAGCAGCCGCGGUAAUACGGAGGGAGCUAGCGUUGUUCGGAAUUACUGGGCGUAAAGCGCGCGUAGGCGGCGAUUCAAGUCAGAGGUGAAAGCCCGGGGCUCAACCCCGGAACUGCCUUUGAAACUAGAUUGCUAGAAUCUUGGAGAGGUCAGUGGAAUUCCGAGUGUAGAGGUGAAAUUCGUAGAUAUUCGGAAGAACACCAGUGGCGAAGGCGACUGACUGGACAAGUAUUGACGCUGAGGUGCGAAAGCGUGGGGAGCGAAACAGGAUUAGGAUACCCUGGUAGUCCACGCCGUAAACGAUGAUAACUAGCUGUCCGGGCACUUGGUGCUUGGGUGGCGCGNGCUACGACAUUAAGUUAUCCGUCCGUCGGGUAGGUACGGUCGCGAGAAGUUAAAACGUUAAAAGGUAAAGUUAGUACGGUUCGUUGUAGACGUUGCCGACGGACGACGACGAGGGAGGAGG